CAAAAUUCCCAGCUGACCUCCAAACCAAGGCUAUGGCUGAGCUCGCCAAUCUUCGGUGCUGUUUAGCCGAGUGGGACUCGCAGUAGGCCCCAGGCCAGCCGCCUUCGGUUGGACGUUAAUGAACGGAGCAGGAAUGGGCACAUCUGAUGAAGCUGGCCAUGCUGUCAACUGAUUUUCAUCUGGUGUGUGUGCGCGCAUGUUUGUGUGUGUGUCUGACAACAGGUGCAGACCAGAUCUCUACGCACUGACAAAAUACAGCCUCUGCUUUGCCAACACAGGCAGAGAAGAUUCAAAGCAGCUUCAAAACAACAAAACCAAACAUCACAGCAUUCCCAAAUGUCACAUUAUUGCGCAUCGUACAUGGACAGAAGCUAACGAGACGGGAAGACAGGAACGUGAUUCUCCUUGGAGAGAGACAAUUUUCACUGCCGCGUCCGAGUCCAAAAAUAACAAAGAACAAAGGCGGAUAAAUGAGUAAGGGCUCAACAGACAGGUUGUUUCAACUCGCGUGAAGGAGAAAGAAGUGGCCGGCAUUUGUGGAUGGGAGAAAAAGAGGCUUUUGAUGAAUUGUCUGUGAAAGUGCAUCAGUCUACCCACAUCUUCAAAACCCCCCGAUGCCUCUUGUCUGCUUUCAGACUCAUUUUUCUCCACAUUGUUGGUAAUUUGAGCAUUCUCGCCCAUGGCAUCAUUCAUAGUUGGCCCAUUUAAAUCCCCUUAGAAAUUCAAUUUGGAGAAAGGAAAUGACAAGAUUUAGCUUAUUGAGGUAUGCCAGAACAUCGUGAAAAUCAGACAUGGGAAUAUAAGAGACUGUAAAACCCUCAUCAUGGUUCGCCUUUGUUACUGUGUGCAAAAGGGACUAAAU
ensembl:lncRNA